rnacentral:rRNA from 1 species
UCCUGGCUCAGGAUGAACGCUAGCGGCAGGCUUAACACAUGCAAGUCGAGGGGCAGCGCGGGUAGCAAUACGUCUGGCGGCGACCGGCAGACGGGUGCGUAACGCGUAUGCAACCUGCCCGCCACAGGGGUAUAGCCCGGCGAAAGCCGGAAUAAUCCCCCAUAGUUCCACAUUUCCGCAUGGUAAUGUGGAUAAACGGGCGACCGGGUGGCGGAUGGGCAUGCGUGGCAUUAGGCAGUUGGCGGGUAACGGCCCACCAAACCGACGAUGCCUAGGGGUCCCUGAGAGGGAGGUCCCCCACAUUGGAACUGAGACACGGUCCAAACUCCUACGGGAGGCAGCAGUGAGGAAUAUUGGUCAAUGGGCGAGAGCCUGAACCAGCCAUGCCGCGUGCAGGAAGACGGCCUUAUGGGUUGUAAACUGCUUUUAUUGGGGACGAGCAUGACCACGCGUGGUCAAAUGACGGUACCCGAUGAAUAAGCACCGGCUAACUCCGUGCC